CGCUCCCUCCCCCUCCCCCCCUCCUUUCCUUUUUUUUCCUUUCCUUUCUUUCUUUCUUUCCUCCCCCCACCCCCACCCCAAACAAACAAGUCCCCAAUCCUCGUCGGUCCUCGCCGCGGGCAGCGGGGCGGCGGAGGCAGCGCGCCACGGUCGCCGCGAGCCGGGAGCCCCGGGCGCCAGCUCCGCGGCGCAGCAUGUUCCAGCCGGCGCCCAAGCGCUGCUUCACCAUCGAGUCGCUGGUGGCCAAGGACAGUCCCCUGCCCGCCUCGCGCUCCGAGGACCCCAUCCGUCCCGCGGCGCUCAGCUACGCCAACUCCAGCCCCAUCAACCCGUUCCUCAACGGCUUCCACUCGGCCGCCGCCGCCGCCGCCGCCGGCAGGGGCGUCUACUCCAACCCGGACUUGGUGUUCGCCGAGGCGGUCUCGCACCCGCCCAACCCCGCCGUGCCGGUGCACCCCGUGCCGCCGCCGCACGCCCUCGCCGCGCACCCCCUGCCCUCCUCGCACUCGCCACACCCCCUCUUCGCCUCGCAGCAGCGGGACCCGUCCACCUUCUACCCGUGGCUCAUCCACCGCUACCGGUAUCUGGGCCAUCGCUUCCAAGGGAACGACACAAGCCCCGAGAGCUUCCUUUUGCACAACGCGCUGGCCCGAAAGCCGAAGCGGAUCCGAACCGCCUUUUCCCCGUCCCAGCUUCUGAGGCUGGAACACGCCUUCGAGAAAAACCACUACGUGGUGGGCGCCGAGAGGAAGCAGCUGGCGCACAGCCUCAGCCUCACGGAAACUCAGGUAAAAGUAUGGUUUCAGAACCGGAGGACGAAGUUCAAAAGACAGAAGCUGGAGGAAGAAGGUUCAGACUCGCAACAAAAGAAAAAAGGGACGCAUCACAUUAACCGGUGGAGGAUCGCCACCAAGCAGGCCAGCCCGGAGGAAAUAGACGUGACCUCAGACGAUUAAAAACACAAACCGAGCCCCACAGAAACGGACAAAGCGGAGCAAAACAGAGAGACGGGGAGAGGAGGGGAAGAAGAGAGGAAAAAAAACCCUACAGAACAAAAACCAACCGCACACACACAUUCAGCGAGAAGGGGAGAGGGAGUCCGAGGGAGCGCGGAGAGCGCGUCGCAGACUUUGGGCGGCGAGGGCGCACCGUUCUGGUCGGAGGCCGAGCCACGAUGGCAGAGGAUGGAGGCUCCUUGAUCAACAUGCAACCCUUGUCUAAAGAGGCAGCUGAGAGAGAGAGAGAGAAUGAGACAGAGAGAGAGAAAGAGAGAGAGCGAAAGAUCUAAAUGUGGCAAAGCGGCAGGCGCGCUCUGACAAGGGGAGCUGUCAGUCAAACGCCAAACCAGCGAGACAAGGCUUAAAAUCAUGAAGCAAACUCCUUUUAGUGGUUGGAGAUACUGGCUGAGUUCAACCAUUGACUGCAAAGGCCAUUCCAAACUUGAAGUCGAUCGAUGGAUGGCAAAAAAAACAAACAAACUGAAGGACUGUAGUUAGCGGGGAUGAUGCUAAGUGUGGCCAAAGACAUGGCGCAGGUUUUCAAGCACUGAGUUUCUGUUCCAAGAUCAUAGACUUACUAAAGAGAGUGACAAAUGCUUCCUUAAUGUCUUCUAUACCAGAAUGUAAAUAUUUUUGUGUUUUGUGUUAAUUUGUUAGAAUUCUAACACACUAUAUACUUCCAAGAAGUAUGUCAAUGUCAAUAUUUUGUCAAUAAAGAUUUAUCAAUAUGCCCUCAGA